AAAAUGCUCUGCUGAAGAGGGAUGAAACAGAGCUGUGUUUACCUGCAUUUGGAAUCCAUGGAUGCUCCCUACAGAAAGGCAGAAUGCCUGGCUGGAAUUCCGAGAGGGAUUAUUGCAAUAAUGACACUUUGCACCAACCAGAGCCUUUAUCAAGGAAUUACAGAGUGUUUGUCUGAAGGGUGAAAGGACUCCUGUCCCUAGUCUGGACUCACUGAUUCUGAGAGGCACAAACUCUGUACAUCUCCAGGAGAUUUUGGCUCUUUUGUACUGCUGCUGAAAAGAACUGUUCAUCUAGCUCAUGGCUUUUGAAGGGAGAGUCCUUUCAGCAAACUUUAGGAGGGAACAGCUGCUCAUAGUGAAAACAAGACUGUCCUGCUGAUCCAAGCUGAAAUGUGACAUGGAAGUGGGAUUUUUGACCUUGAAAGAUGCGUCCGUUGUGACGAAGUUGAUAUUAAAGACUAUCGAGCGGGAAAAGAGUUUGGGAAGCGGUGAGGUGAACGUGGACUUCCAGAAACCCAGGAGGCUUGCAGGGACAGGUCAGACAAUCCUUAGAAGCAAAGGAAGCAAGCACACGACAAAAGGAAAUUUUCCUUGUACCUAAUUGUAAGCUCUGCUUAGAUUUGCUGGCAGGGUAACCUGUCUCUCUCCUUCAGCUGCAGAGGGAGCUUGAGGAGGCUACCUGCUUAAACUUGGUACCUAAAUGCCACAACGUGAAUAUUUCAUAGGGUUACUAACUUUGGCGUGAUUGGAGACUUUGAUGGUAAAGAUGCCUUGAUUGUUCAUGGUAUGAAUUUGUCUCCCCAUGAUGCAACAGCUUCAAGAGGAAGAGAAAAUAACUAGAAUAAAGUAAUACUUCCAUGUUGGUGAUGGUCA
rnacentral:lncRNA from 1 species